rnacentral:rRNA from 1 species
GUCGAGAAUCUUUCGCAAUGCCCGCAAGGGUGACGAAGCGACGCCGCGUGUGGGAAGAAGGCCUUCGGGUUGUAAACCACUGUCGGGAGUUAAGAAAGGUGUACGGGUAAAUAGUCCGUGCAUUUGACAAAAGCUCCGGAGGAAGCCACGGCUAACUCUGUGCCAGCAGCCGCGGUAAUACAGAGGUGGCAAGCGUUGUUCGGAAUUAUUGGGCGUAAAGAGCACGUAGGCGGCCCUGCAAGUCAGCUGUGAAAGCCUCCUGCUUAACGGGAGAAGUGCAGUUGAAACUACGGGGCUAGAGUGCGGAAGGGGAGAGUGGAACUUCUGGUGGAGCGGUGAAAUGCGUAGAUAUCAGAAGGAACACCGGCGGCGAAAGCGGCUCUCUGGUCCGUAACUGACGCUGAGGUGCGAAAGCCAGGGGAGCAAACGGGAUUAGAAACCCGAGUAGUCC